UCCCUUCUGGCUCGGCUGGUAAAGAAUCUGCCUGCAAUGUGGGAGACCCGGGUUCAAUCCCCGGGUUGGGAA
rnacentral:tRNA from 1 species